UACGUAGGGGGCAAGCGUUGUCCGGAUUUACUGGGCGUAAAGAGCGUGUAGGCGGCCAAACAGGUCCGUUGUGAAAACUGGAGGCUCAACUUCCAGACGUCGACGGAAACCGUGUGGCUAGAGUCCGGAAGAGGAGAGUGGAAUUCCUGGUGUAGCGGUGAAAUGCUUAGAGAUGACAUAGAACACCCAUUGCGAAGGCAGCUAACUACGCGAUAAUUGACGCUGAUGCACGAAAGCGUGGGGAUCAAACAGG
rnacentral:rRNA from 1 species